rnacentral:rRNA from 1 species
UGACUGGGGCGGUCUCCUCCUAAAGAGUAACGGAGGAGCACGAAGGUUGGCUAAUCCUGGUCGGACAUCAGGAGGUUAGUGCAAUGGCAUAAGCCAGCUUGACUGCGAGCGUGACGGCGCGAGCAGGUGCGAAAGCAGGUCAUAGUGAUCCGGUGGUUCUGAAUGGAAGGGCCAUCGCUCAACGGAUAAAAGGUACUCCGGGGAUAACAGGCUGAUACCGCCCAAGAGUUCAUAUCGACGGCGGUGUUUGGCACCUCGAUGUCGGCUCAUCACAUCCUGGGGCUGAAGUAGGUCCCAAGGGUAUGGCUGUUCGCCAUUUAAAGUGGUACGCGAGCUGGGUUUAGAACGUCGUGAGACAGUUCGGUCCCUAUCUGCCGUGGGCGCUGGAGAACUGAGGGGGGCUGCUCCUAGUACGAGAGGACCGGAGUGGACGCAUCACUGGUGUUCGGGUUGUCAUGCCAAUGGCACUGCCCGGUAGCUAAAUGCGGAAGAGAUAAGUGCUGAAAGCAUCUAAGCACGAAACUUGCCCCGAGAUGAGUUCUCCCUGACCCUUUAAGGGUCCUGAAGGAACGUUGAAGACGACGACGUUGAUAGGCCGGGUGUGUAAGCGCAGCGAUGCGUUGAGCUAACCGGUACUAAUGAACCGUGAGGCUUAACCUUACAACGCCGAAGGUGUUU